ACAGGACUUUGAAGUGAACUUUUCUGCUAAUCGUGUUUUUGCUUUACUUUGAAAUGAGAAAGGGACAAGUGUUCUGCUUCUGUUUUGUGGCAGUCCAUCUAAGCUUUAUUGCUAUACCACACCCUGGCUUUGCUCCAUAUAGGCCCUGCAUUGUGUUGGAAUCAAACCUCGCAUCCAGUCUUGUAAAUGCCAGGAAGUUAUAUUAUUCUGCACUUAAAAGCUUAUAAUCAAGGCAACAGCUUAUGAAGAGACUACAAUAUUGGAGACCAAGGACUGAAAUGCAACAUCUUAAAAAAUCUUGUAUAGCUAGCAAGACAUUCUCAGUGAAACAGAAGAAAGGAAAAGCUUUGAAAGGCAUGUGGAUUUCUUCCAUUUAUAAGGGAGGGGCUGCCAUUUGAUGGCUUGGAUACUCCUAGUUGAAGUGUGCGAUUGUAAUUGAUUGGUAGCAUGGCAUUGAAAUUUAUUGACAUUGUAUCUAUUAUAUCUACGAUAAUUAGCUCAUAAUAAGAACAAAAUCAUUGGUGUAAUGUGAUUUGAUCAGCUGACGAAAAUGUGAUUUGAUUGACAUACAUGAUUUGGUGUUCAUGCUUCCUCUCAUGAACAUAGGAGUAUGGCGUUUUUGCUGAUUUUAAAGGUCCAC